GAUGAACGCUGGCGGCGUGCUUAACACAUGCAAGUCGAACGAGAAUCAACGGAUUGAGGAUUCGUCCAAAUGAAGUUGAGGAAAGUGGCGGACGGGUGAGUAACGCGUGAGGAACCUGCCUCGGAGUGGGGAAUAACAGUUGGAAACAGCUGCUAAUACCGCAUAAUGCAUCGGAUUCGCAUGUUUCUGAUGCCAAAGAUUUUAUCGCUGAAAGAUGAGCUCGCGUCUGAUUAGCUAGUUGGCGGGGUAACGGCCACCAAGGCGACGAUCAGUAGCCGGACUGAGAGGUUGAACGGCCACAUUGGGACUGAGACACGGCCCAG
rnacentral:rRNA from 1 species